GCUCAUUCGACAACAUCAAUUCGUGUCGGGAGAUUUGGCGAAAGUUUUAGUACGGAACGUGAUGAAUAUUUUAGCGUUUGAUAUAUCGCAGAUCUAUUUAAAACAACAAGCUUAGAAUGCGGACAAAAUAAAUUGUGCGAUGUUGGAGUUGGCACACGGUUGCUUCAAUGAACGGAGUUCAGUGUAGCGUGAUAAUACAAACCUAAGCGUGGUAAUACGAUAAAUCGUAUUCCUCGUACAAUCGUAUUCAUCCCUUUAAGUUCAAUAAUAGUCGACCUAUGCAAAUAACAUGCAAAUUAAGUCACUCUAUAUCUUUUUCGUAAACAAGGAAGAUGUCUAAAAAAACUUCCACGCUUAUAAACACAUUGGUGAAUUAAUUUCAGUCUCUGAAUGUUUAUUUUCAACCGAUUUUAGAUCAAAGUCAUGGCGUCGUCGACUUCCAUAAACAGACUCCUGGUUGCCUCAACAUUCAAACCACCCCAUUUGACGCAGAGCAUCCAACUCCAAGCUUCCACUUCUAUUCGUCAGAUGUGAACCGAGGCUACGAGGGUUCUUUCUCAAUGUCACCACGGCUCAACCGUUGCUGUUUAUGACCCGAAACGUCGAGUCAUAAUGAUCAACUGAGAAGAAUUGACAUAGGAAAUAUAACUUUAUAUAUAAUAUAACUUUACCCUUAUGAGACGAGCAACAAAAUGGUAGUGUUGCCUCAAUUGCCACUCAGUUGAUGCUGGCAGGUCACCGUAACCACAAGAUGGACAAGCCUCAGUCAAGUUCCGAUUGCUGGGAAAUUGUUCGCAAUUCCGAAGAUUGUUGUCCAACUUUGUGAUAUAAUUAUGAUUGGAACUUAUGUUGUCGAUACAGUAGUACUUAAGGUUUAUUUUUAGGUAGAUAGUUAUUGGUUUUAAUAAAAUUGUAAAGUUGCACGAAAGGAACCUUAAUAUAGAAGACAUUUUAGUGCAACAGCUGGAGCAAAAUGAUCUGAUUAUUGUUAAGUUAGUAUAAUGGCGUUAUCAUAAUUUUCUCGUGUCUUCAUUGUCUACUUCCAAAACGACGUCAAAAAAGCACGAAUAGUUAGUAACUGAAACUUAAAAUAAAAAUGUCCACAUGUAGAAUUGUAGAUAUGAGAAUGAAAGGAGAAAACUUUUCUACUGGUUCGUUUAUAUAUAUAUUUUUAAUGUUUUGUUUUACGCCCCUACAAUCAUUACAACAAAAUAUCUUCGACCAGCUCCAAGUAUGACAUUACUUUAUAUACGAGUUCUGAUGCAGGAUGAGACCGAGGUGUCGCGUGUUCACCGAGGUGCAAAUGCUGUGCACACUAUAUGAAUUACACUGCAUAAUA